AAAUAUUUUCUUACGUCAUCCGGAAGUCUUUUGCAUUCUUUAAAUAAUUUGGUUUUACCUUAGAAACUUCAUUCAAAAAAUUGUUUAUUCUGCAGCUAAUUAAAUCAAGAUCAAAAUGGCCGUAGCAACACAGGUCACAGUUGAGUACAAGGGACAUUGCAACCAUGAAAUGAUUCACAAAAUCUAUUCUGAACAUGAAAAAGAACUCCUUGCCCAUGAGAAAGAUGCGUUAAAAAAGCUCAGAACUGAAAUCCACCGCAUCAUCAAAGGGGAAAAAAGUUUAAAAGUUACUAUUUAUCUGGAGAAUAUGUCACCUGUAACCAUAUCUAACGACGGAGACGAACACGAAUUGGUGAUACAAUUCAAUAAAAAUGGUGAUAUAGAUUAUCAAUGGGUAGAGAAAGAAAAAACGUUCGCACAAAAAACAGCGGAGUUCUGUGGAAAUUUUGCAAGUAGAAUUGUAAAUAAAAUAGUAGACAUAUUCGUGGAUUUGAUAGGCGAAAGUUUCAAAAAAGCAGUUGGAUGGUUUGGAGAAAAAGCGUCAAUUGCAUGGAAAUAAUGACAUUAUUCAAUAUUUUGAAAUAAGGGUUCCUGCUUUAAAAAAAAAUGGAUCCUUUGUAUACCAAUAAGCAAUGAAUGUAGUGAGCACCAGUUAGAAUAACAUUUUCAAUGAGCAUAAACAAUGUUGUCAUUUUAUUGAAAUAUUGAUUCUCACAUUAGUUUGUAUUAUUUAAUAGAAAAGAAUAUAUACAUUUUGGUAAUUUUAAAUUUAAUGAAUAAAAUAUACAAAAAAUG